GUCGAGGAUUUUUCUCAAUGGGGGAAACCCUGAAGGAGCGACGCCGCGUGGGGGAUGAAGGUCUUCGGAUUGUAAACCCCUGUCAUCCGGGAUCAAUGCGUAUCACCUAACACGUGAUACGUUGCUAGUACCGGAAGAGGAAGCAGUGGCUAACUCUGUGCCAGCAGCCGCGGUAAUACAGAGACUGCAAGCGUUGUUCGGAUUCAUUGGGCGUAAAGGGUGCGCAGGCGGUUUGGUAAGUCGGAUGUGAAAUCUCGAGGCUCAACCUCGAUGGGUCAUUCGAAACUGCCAAGCUAGAGGACUGGAGAGGAGACUGGAAUAGUUGGUGUAGCAGUGAAAUGCGUAGAGAUCAACUAGAACACCAGUAGCGAAGGCGGGUCUCUGGACAGUUCCUGACGCUCAGGCACGAAAGCCAGGGGAGCAAACGGGAUUAGAAACCCGAGUAGUCC
rnacentral:rRNA from 1 species